rfam:Fusarium fujikuroi IMI 58289 draft genome, chromosome FFTJ_chr01
GUCAAGAUGGCCGAGUGGUCUAAGGCGCUGCAUUCAAGAUGUUGUCUUGCCUAGUUAACUAGGACAAUCUGCAGUAUCGAAAGAUUCUUGGGUUCGAAUCCCAAUCUUGACA